UACGUAGGGGGGCGAGCGUUGUCCGGAUUUAUUGGGCGUAAAAGGCUUGUAGGUGGCCACGUCAAGUCGGAUGUGAAAUCUCCCGGCUCAGCUGGGAGGGGUCAUUCGAUACUGGCGGGCUCGAGGCCGGUAGGGGGUAGCGGAAUUCCCGGUGUAGUGGUGGAAUGCGUAGAUAUCGGGGAGGAACACCAGUGGCGAAGGCGGCUACCUGGACCGGUUCUGACACUGAGGAGCGAAAGCGUGGGGAGCGAUCCGG
rnacentral:rRNA from 1 species